ensembl:lncRNA
UGAAACGUGUAUCAAUAUAUAGGUUUAUUGUGAUUCGGAUAUUUGUUUUGUAAAAACAUGACGCAACAUUUGCUGUACAGAAUAAUGAGUUCACAGUUUGAUACAGAAUGAUCAGAAGACGCACACUCCCGUUUGAAUUGACAACCCCACAUACAAUACAAAGAUAGAGUUGAAUACAGAUUCACAACCUUAUAUAUAUAUAUAUAUAUAUAUAAAAAAAAAAUGUUUUUUUAUAUAAUUCAUUGAUAAAAAAAAAAAAUUAAAAAUGUUUUAAAAAAAAAUUAUUUAUCAUCAUGCUUUAUAAAAUGCCUUUAAUUGCCCAUUUCAGUCUAAUAAUCAUUUAUAAAAUAUAUUACAACAAUUCAUCAUCAUAUUACAUCUGCAUAGUUAAAAAACCAACGCAAACCAAACGUGUGUGUGUGUGUAUAUAUAAUCCUGCUAUUAAAUGGAAAAAGCCAGAUUACAUUAAUCCCAAAACAGUGAUAUUGGGUCAGUCUGAUGUUAAGGACUGUGAGAUGCUAAAACUGACCCCAGAUCUGUGACUGUUUCCCUCUCCUCAGGGUUAAAGGUUAAGGACUGUGGGAUGCUAAAACUGAUCCCAGAUCUGUGACUGUUUCCCUCUCCUCAGGGUUAAAGGUUAAGGACUGUGAGAUGCUAAAACUGACCCCAGAUCUGUGACUGUUUCCCUCUCCUCAGGGUUAAUGGUUAAGGACUGUGGGAUGGUAAAACUGAUCCCAGAUCUGUGACUGUUUCCCUCUCCUCAGGGUUAAUGGUUAAGGACUGACCCCAGAUCUGUGACUGUUUCUCUCUCCUCAGGGUUAAUGGUUAAGGACUGUGGGAUGGUAAAACUGACCACAGAACUGUGACUUGUAACUUGAACUGAGUUUAAUAAUGUUUCAAUCAAUACAUCAUCGCAUCAUUCAACCAACCAACAAAUGAUUGAUUGAAUAAUGAAUGGAUUUGAAUGAGAAUGUGCUGAUUGUCUGGUUCUGUGAAUGGUUUUAAAGUGCUCUCUAGUUUUCUUUACUCUGCAGGCUCACUAGUCUCCUCUGGGCUCCUCUAGCCUCCUCUAGCCCCCUCUGGCCCCUAGCCCCCUCUAGCCUCCUCUAGCCCCUAGCCCCCUCUGGGCU